rnacentral:lncRNA from 1 species
GUGGCCCAUGAAACCACACUAAGGCUGCUGAGCAACUUCCAGCAAGCAGUGAAGCUACCAAAAGGGGUCAGCCUAGGAUUUAUGAGAUACUCCCUCACACAACCUGAGAAGAAAUUAAGAAACAACUUUUACUUCAGAACUGAAAACUGUCUGGAAAACCAGAGAAGUGCUGAAUGUCACUGUAAAGAAACGAAAAACAGGAGGCGACGUGUGCUGGGCAGAUGGGACAUGGCUUUCUGUGUUUCCGUAGGUAAUUGCAACAGCAUUAAGAAAAUGUGAGAAAGAUAUUAGCAUGGCACAAAUGCCUGUUCAUCUCCGCUUUUAAAUGUCUCUGAGUUGAAUUAAACCACAGUGGUAAUGUAGAGUUUUU